GAUAAUAUGGCUGAGGUUAUAGGCGAUAGACUGUAAAUCUAUAAACGGAGUUGAAUCCUUUUAUCA
rnacentral:tRNA from 1 species